rnacentral:misc_RNA from 1 species
GUGGAAGGUGGCUCGGGUAUGACUUGGGUAAUAAGCAGGUUAACACAACUGGUGAAAGAUAUUGGACUUUGAAUGAGUAAGAGAAUUCAUCUGAGCUUUCUCUGUUCAUCUUAAAAUCACCAAAUGAAUUAAGCUUAGCAAUUACAAUGAGUUGAGCAGGAGCUUCAAUAUUGAUGUGAAUCUGAAAUGAUCUUAGGCCUUCUUGCCUGUCAACAAUGAGGGCAUUCUCUCCAAAAAUGGACUCCAUAGCAAGCAACUCAUCCUCCUGCAGCUGAUCAUUGGUCCUCAGCUGCUCCUCAGACAAUUCUG